rnacentral:lncRNA from 1 species
UUUGUUAGAACAACUGAAGAAAAAAAAGAAGACGACUGACGUCUGAGAGCUACUGAUGUAUUCAUCGGAUCACAUAAAGGCUCUAAUCAGGGCCUUAUCUAGUAUAAGUAUUAGCAUGACAACUACCCUUGAGGAGAUGACCAAAACGGUAACUGACAAGACCAUUGGGAUGAUCACUUUCUUGGAUGAAGACUUACCAUUCAAGGGAAGAGACCAUAAUA